rnacentral:rRNA from 1 species
GGGUUGUGAGGUUAAGCGACUAAGCGUACACGGUGGAUGCCCUGGCAGUCAGAGGCGAUGAAGGACGUGCUAAUCUGCGAUAAGCGUCGGUAAGGUGAUAUGAACCGUUAUAACCGGCGAUUUCCGAAUGGGGAAACCCAGUGUGUUUCGACACACUAUCAUUAACUGAAUCCAUAGGUUAAUGAGGCGAACCGGGGGAACUGAAACAUCUAAGUACCCCGAGGAAAAGAAAUCAACCGAGAUUCCCCCAGUAGCGGCGAGCGAACGGGGAGCAGCCCAGAGCCUGAAUCAGUGUGUGUGUUAGUGGAAGCGUCUGGAAAGGCGCGCGAUACAGGGUGACAGCCCCGUACACAAAAAUGCACAUGCUGUGAGCUCGAUGAGUAGGGCGGGACACGUGGUAUCCUGUCUGAAUAUGGGGGGACCAUCCUCCAAGGCUAAAUACUCCUGACUGACCGAUAGUGAACCAGUACCGUGAGGGAAAGGCGAAAAGAACCCCGGCGAGGGGAGUGAAAAAGAACCUGAAACCGUGUACGUACAAGCAGUGGGAGCACGCUUAGGCGUGUGACUGCGUACCUUUUGUAUAAUGGGUCAGCGACUUAUAUUCUGUAGCAAGGUUAACCGAAUAGGGGAGCCGAAGGGAAACCGAGUCUUAACUGGGCGUUAAGUUGCAGGGUAUAGACCCGAAACCCGGUGAUCUAGCCAUGGGCAGGUUGAAGGUUGGGUAACACUAACUGGAGGACCGAACC